rnacentral:pre_miRNA from 1 species
CAUUACUCGUCCGCCCUUCGUCUUGACUGGCGCUGUCGCUUGCAUCAGUCUUGUCGAAUGGUGGGUGAGUUUC